CUGAUUAGCUAGUUGGUGAGGUAAAAGCCCACCAAGGCGACGAUCAGUAGCCGGCCUGAGAGGGUGAACGGCCACAUUGGGACUGAGACACGGCCCAGACUCCUACGGGAGGCAGCAGUGGGGGAUAUUGCACAAUGGGGGAAACCCUGAUGCAGCGACGCCGCGUGAGUGAAGAAGUAUUUCGGUAUGUAAAGCUCUAUCAGCAGGGAAGAAAAAAAGUCCACAGGACUUUGGACGGUACCUGACUAAGAAGCCCCGGCUAACUACGUGCCAGCAGCCGCGGUAAUACGUAGGGGGCAAGCGUUAUCCGGAUUUACUGGGUGUAAAGGGAGCGUAGACGGCUGUGCAAGUCUGAAGUGAAAUGCCGGGGCCCAACCCCGGAACUGCUUUGGAAACUGUACAGCUAGAGUGCAGGAGGGGUGAGCGGAAUUCCUAGUGUAGCGGUGAAAUGCGUAGAUAUUAGGAGGAACACCGGUGGCGAAGGCGGCUCACUGGACUGUAACUGACGUUGAGGCUCGAAAGCGUGGGGA
rnacentral:rRNA from 1 species